rnacentral:rRNA from 1 species
GACGAACGCUGGCGGCGUGCUUAACACAUGCAAGUCGAGCGAUGAAGUUCCUUCGGGAACGGAUUAGCGGCGGACGGGUGAGUAACACGUGGGUAACCUGCCUCAUAGAGGGGAAUAGCCUUCCGAAAGGAAGAUUAAUACCGCAUAAGAUUGUAGUUUCGCAUGAAAUAGCAAGUAAAGGAGUAAUCCGCUAUGAGAUGGACCCGCGUCGCAUUAGCUAGUUGGUGAGGUAACGGCUCACCAAGGCGACGAUGCGUAGCCGACCUGAGAGGGUGAUCGGCCACAUUGGGACUGAGACACGGCCCAGACUCCUACGGGAGGCAGCAGUGGGGAAUAUUGCACAAUGGGGGAAACCCUGAUGCAGCAACGCCGCGUGAGUGAUGACGGUCUUCGGAUUGUAAAGCUCUGUCUUUAGGGACGAUAAUGACGGUACCUAAGGAGGAAGCCACGGCUAACUACGUGCCAGCCGCCGCAGUAAAAC